UACGGAGGAUCCAAGCGUUAUCCGGAAUCAUUGGGUUUAAAGGGUCCGUAGGCGGCCUUAUAAGUCAGUGGUGAAAUCUCCCGGCUCAACCGGGAAAUGGCCAUUGAUACUGUAGGGCUUGAAUUAUUAGGAAGUAACUAGAAUAUGUAGUGUAGCGGUGAAAUGCUUAGAUAUUACAUGGAGUACCAAUUGCGAAGGCAGGUUACUACUAAUGGAUUGACGCUGAUGGACGAAAGCGUGGGUAGCGAACAGG
rnacentral:rRNA from 1 species